CCUGGUUUUCCUCCUCCUUCACCUCCUGUCAGAAGCUCCAGAUGAAGCGAAAUAUCAGCUGCUUACAUGGAGCAGAACGAACCCAGAGAGAGCCCAAUAAACGAAGACAAAGGUUGUGCGAGAGAAAAGGCCCACCACCCUUCACCUCCAGAGAGCCACAGUGGAGAAGUCUGGCACUGUCAUCAAGAUCAAGAAACCGGAAUACCCUCAUUGGCCAGCAGGUGGUGGUGUCAGACUGUGUCCAGAAUGGACUGUGGUGUUUGCAGUGUUCUCACCAUCAUGUGGGGUGCUAUCAUGCUAACCCAAACCAGUGGUCAACCAUGUGGACAUACGGAG